rnacentral:sRNA from 1 species
GCCAGGUGCAGUGACGUAUGCCUGUAAUCCUAGAAACUUAGGAGGCUGAGGCAGGAGGAUUGUGAGUUCAAAGGCAGCCUCAGCAGAUUAGUGAGGCACCUAGCAACUCAGUGAGACCCUGUCUCUA